rnacentral:rRNA from 1 species
GAUGAACGCUGGCGGCGUGCCUAAUACAUGCAAGUCGAGCGAACAGACGAGGAGCUUGCUCCUCUGACGUUAGCGGCGGACGGGUGAGUAACACGUGGAUAACCUACCUAUAAGACUGGGAUAACUUCGGGAAACCGGAGCUAAUACCGGAUAAUAUAUUGAACCGCAUGGUUCAAUAGUGAAAGACGGUUUUGCUGUCACUUAUAGAUGGAUCCGCGCCGCAUUAGCUAGUUGGUAAGGUAACGGCUUACCAAGGCAACGAUGCGUAGCCGACCUGAGAGGAUGAUCGGCCACACUGGAACUGAGACACGGUCCAGACUCCUACGGGAGGCAGCAGUAGGGAAUCUUGCGCAAUGGGCGAAAGCCUGACGGAGCAACGCCGCGUGAGUGAUGAAGGUCUUCGGAUCGUAAAACUCUGUUAUUAGGGAAGAAAAAAUGUGUAAGUAACUAUGCACGUCUUGACGGUACCCAAUCAGAAAGCCACGGCUAACUACGUG